rnacentral:lncRNA from 1 species
GAUCCAGGAAGCUAUGAGAAUGCCCUCUGAUGUCUACGGAUGGUGAGUCAACAAAAAACAAUGAAAAGUCAGCAGUCUGCAACCUGGAAGAGGGUCCUCACCAGAACCUGACCAGGCUGGCACACCCAUCUCAGACUUCCAGCCUCCAGAGUUUUCAAAUUUAGGCUGGUCUGCGAUUUGCUUUGGCUGACAGAAUAUGAUGAAGUGAUGUUAUAUGGGUUCCUUACUCAGCCUUUAAGUGGACUUGCAGCUACUGCUCUCUACUCCACACUGCUACCACCAUCUGAAGAACCCUACAGUAGGAGACACUUGGCCCAGAUAGUCACAAAGAAAAAGAGUAUGCAGUGAGAAGGACAAGUCUCAUAACCACAUGUUGUUAAUGAAGAAGCUGAGGCACCAAGCGACUUAAGGAUUUGACCAAAAUCAGACAGCAGCAGAUUCAAAGAUAAUGCCAGCUCCUCAUCUUCGUUUCUGGUGCUGUUUACACCGUGAUACUUCAACACUGAAAGAAACACCUAUCAAUUCUCGUACAACUUUAAAGAUGCAUUCUUACUG